rnacentral:lncRNA from 1 species
UUACCUGGCAAGAGCCAGGAAGCCUCCCUGUUCUCCGGCCACAGCUGCCACCCAACCCAGCCACUGAACAAGACAAGGACUCUCAUCGCCGUGGUAACCAGGUCACAGUAGCCACAUUUUGUAUAAUAUUAAAGAUAUAAGACUGGGCUAGAAAAACCUCAGAAUUUCAGAGAAGACCCCAGGUCCCACGAUCUCUGAACAGCGUUCUGCUUAAGCACAUAAUAACAAACUCUUCAUUGUUGGUAUGACAACAGCCCCACCCUUCCCACUUGAAGCCUACUUCUUCCUUCAGAGCUUGAGUGUGUUGACAUAACUUGUGGCUACUCCUGGUUUCAGAAGGCACUAAGCAACAGAAGAUCUAUCACUGAUGUGAACAGGAGAAAAUUCUUAAGACGUUCACUAAGUAAACUGGCACUUCUACUGCAAAAUUGAAUGUUACCCUGAGAUGCUUCAGAUAUUCUGAAUGGUAACAUAUGGUCUUUGUAAUUGGAUUCCCUCAUUUGCAUAAUGUUUUCAAGAUCAGCUAUUAUUGUAUGUGCUUAUUUUGGAUGACUUCGGCAAGAAUUGCUUCUCUUGAGGUUUCUAGCAAAUGCAGCAAUCAAACUGUGGUCCAGAGUGACGAACUGACCGGUUGUCUUAAGGAAGCUUCGGGAACACGGGGCAAGCCUUGCCUUGUUGAAUCAGUGAUAUGAUACAGAGAUCUUACACUGAAAAAGCUCAAGGCCAGUUUUCAACGUGACUACAUGAUCCUGUCAUGCCUGGAGGAAGGUAUCUGAAGAUCGAUUUUACCAGCAUCCCUCUCUGAUGGAGUUUGAAUGACCCUUGGGUGAUUAAUCGCAGCAACUUACAUUUGGAUAUUUUCCAAAUGCUUUCCAGUUUGUUAUCUCUCAUGACCCUUGCAACCACCUCCACAAGAAGAUAAGACAGGUAUUAAUAUGGCUGUUUGACAAGAAGAUAACCAGUUGAAGAGAAUUUAACUAACUGCCCUUCAGGUAAUAGACGUAGUUAAUUGAUAAGGAGGUAGAUGCCCGUGCACAGACAAAAGAGUAUAACUCUGCCCAAGGGCCUUCAGAGGGUUGUUGCAAAAUGGCAGGAAAACUACCCCAGAGUCCAGGGUGUGUAGGAAACUUGACUGAGUUUCCAUGCCAGGCAGGGAGCACCAAGACCUUCCAUUACCUGAUUCUGAGGCUCCUUACCAAUACCUACUGAUUCCUCAACUAAUUAAUUCCCUUCUUCCACUGUGGGCCACGAAUAAACGCAAAUGUCC